AAUCAACGCUGGCGGCGUGCCUAACACAUGCAAGUCGAACGCGAAAGUGGAGCAAUCCAUGAGUAGAGUGGCGAACGGGUGAGUAACGCGUGGGUGACCUGCCUUCGAGUGGGGGAUACCGUUUCGAAAGGAACGCUAAUACCGCAUGAUCUCCUGCCUUUAGGAGGGUGGAGAGCAAAGCUGGGGAUCGCAAGACCUGGCGCUCGGAGAGGGGCCCCGCGCCGAUUAGCUAGUUGGUGGGGUGAUGGCCUACCAAGGCGACGACGGGUAGCCGGCCUGAGAGGGCGACCGGCCACACUGGGACUGAGACACGGCCCAGACUCCUACGGGAGGCAGCAGUGGGGAAUCUUGCGCAAUGGGCGAAAGCCUGACGCAGCGACGCCGCGUGAGGGAUGACGG
rnacentral:rRNA from 1 species